rnacentral:rRNA from 1 species
CCUGGUGUCUAUGGCGGUGUGGACCCACGCUCAUCCCAUCCCGAACUGAGUGGUGAAACGCACCUGCGGUGACGAUAGUUGGUUGGUAGCAACCUGCCAAAAUAACUCGACGCCAGGG